UUCGAACAUGUUAUGAGAGACCCACAACUAAUUAAUCUACUUUUUCAAUAUAAAACCCUAGCUUUUUGUUUUUUCCCUUGAAUAUUAACAAGAAAACUAAUUACAUGGAAUUACUUGUCUCAACUAGUUACAUUAUGACAAUUUUGCAGUAAAUGAUCAGCUCUCUCCGGCGAUUAUGUAGCGACGAACGAUGCUUCACUUUCUCAGUUGUGGCAACUUCCCCUUCUCAGGCUUAGUUUGCUCGUGUUGAAGUUCGAUUUACCAUGUGUGGAGAAUGAAUGUUUGUUUCGGUAGAGGUGAUGCCGGUGAGGGAAUUGCAAUGUUUGUUUGUUUGAGUUUGAUAAUGGAGGGAAUUGCAGUAGAUGAGUGUUUGUUUGCUUCAGUAGAGAAGGGAGAGGUGCUGUCCGUUGAGUUGAAAUGUUUUAAAAUAAGGAUAGCUUAGUAAUUUCCUAUCAGUUUUUAAAGGGUAUCGAUGAAAAUUUUGGCAAAAACAGAUUUUAGGGUAUUGAGAUAAUUUUUGAAGUAUGGAGGUGUACCGGGCGC
rnacentral:lncRNA from 1 species